rnacentral:lncRNA from 1 species
GUCACGGGCAGCAUCUUCUUCCUGGGCCGCCGUGGGCUUCGUCUGAGAUGACACGGGGCAGGGUGGCUAGCACGGUGGCUGACCCUCAGACGGUCAGGGUCAGGUCUCCCUGGAUGUGGCGGAGAGCCCUGGCCUCUCCCUCCAGUCUGGAAGUUCAAAGAGGAGUGGGAAGAGACCCUCUGUCCCCCCUCAUGAAGGACACCCCAUGUCAGGGCCGACUGCUUUGGCUUGUUUUGCAGGGCCAGGGCUGAAACCCGGGGCGCUGGACAUUCUGGGCAGGCCCUCGACCACCAUCUACCCUCUAGCCCUGAGCUGGGUUAGAGAGUGGGGACCCUUCUAGACUCAAGUGCCUGAGAGACUUUCCAUGGUCAGCGAGUGCCAGACCAGCCAUAGGCUGAGAGUACACCCGCUACCUACACCUAGGGACACGGGGGUCACCGUUAAAGUGCCAGGAGGCAUUGACCCCUGUGAUAGGCUUUCUGGAAAGUUCCAUCAGCUAUUCCUAUCUCUUGGGUCCUCUCUAGCAGCUUCACCUCCAGCCCUGUGGCCCCUGUGGUGUCCCCCCCCAUCCCAGGUGAGCCCCGUGAGGGACAGUGGGGUCCGUGGGGAGAGCAGAGAGGGUCUUCAAAGACUGAGCCCCGGAGCCUGGGCUUCAUUUCCCUAUGACCCACGUGGAACUCCACAUCCGCAGAGCAAGGGUGAGUGGAAAUAGAGCAGGGAGACAGCUUCCAGGACUUUCCCAUGUGACUAUACCCACGCAAUCUCAGCGCCCACGUGGAACACGGAUCUCGGGCCCCGUAGCAGGGUUCCGUUCCUUGCCCUUCCCACCAAGUCACCUCUGUCCCUGGAGAUGACCUCUUGCCUAACCGCGAACUCCUUGAACCGUGCUGCAUCUGUUUGGAUUCUUUCUCUCCACAUCAAGCCUGUGAGAUUCACCUGUGCUGUGUGCAGCAGUGCGGUUCAUUUUCUUCGCUGUGUAGUAUUCCAUCCUCCUGUUAAUGGAUAUUUGGGAUGGUUACAUUUGGGGGGUGGGGGGCAUGUGUUUGGCUUUAGGGAACGUUGCCACGUGGCUUAACGACUUUCCACAGUGUUUGUACCACUCCACCCUCCCACCAGCCGAGCCCAGGAGUUCUAACAAGGCCUUGGAUCAUUUCAUCAGAAAGACCCGGAUUCCAAGUCCUGCUCUGCCACUUAGCAGCUGUGACACUUGGGGCAAAACAUAUGACUUCUUGGAGCCUCGGCGUCCCCACCCGUAAGUGGAAUGAUGGCUCUUACCUUGCAGGGCUGUCUCCAGGACUGAGUGAGGGGAAAGCUCGGACCACGAGCUCUUCUUCCUUCCGCAGAAUCAACAGGGAGACGCCUCCACGGCCCAGUUCGAUGUGAGACCCUGGGUCUACCCUGUCCCAGGGGGAUAAGCCCUGUGCUAUGCUGUGAAGUGUCCCCCCAAGUUCAUGUGUUAGAAACUUAACCCUCAGAUUCUCAUGUUGGUGGCCUUUGGGACCUAAUGAGGGCACCAGGGGGCCGUGGGGGUGGGGCCUCCACCAUUGUGUUAGUGCCUUUGUAGGAAGAGUUAGCCCCCAUGCUCUGGCUCACCCUGUGCCCCGUAAGCAUGCACCAGUGGACGCUCAGCAGAUGCCAAGUAGCCAGCCCCGUGGACUUCCCAGCCACCAGGCCUGGGAGGUUAAUAAAUUUUUAUUCCUUAUAAAUUACCCCGUGUGACAUUUGCAGCCUAUUUAUGGCAGGGCCGUGGACUAGGUGGCCGAGAGAUCAAGGAAGAGACCCAGAGAAGGAAUACGGUGCCCAUAUAGUUAGUUGAGAAGUGUUUAUGGGGGAGAUCCAGUGGCGGCAGGCUGGCCCGAGCGCCUCUGCCCCUCAAAAGGGCUGCCUGGACCCGCACCUUCCUCCCUGAGGUUACUGAGCCAUCCCAGUUACUACAGGGAGGGGGUUUAUGGGUUCGCUUACAGAAGCCACAAAUCAUUGAUUUGUUUAGUCUGUUUUCUUUCUUGUGUGACCGGCAUCCAGCUGUCUGGGUAUGUGGGCAAGAGAGCAGCUCACUACAGAAAGCACUGCAUUGCUCUAAUUCCCAGCAUACUUUAGAGAAGUCCAGGGUCCUUCUGGAUAGUACGUGUCCAGGCAGGCCACCCUGGCCUGGCUCUCACAGUCCCCUGGGGCUUGUUAAAUCCUUGUGAAAGCAACAUUUCAGGGACCUGGUACUACUGUCCUCUUUUUUUUUUUUAAGAACAGUAUGCCUGAUCUCAGGCAUUUUGUUAUAGCCACAGAAAACAUGACUACAUCCUGGAUCUUUGCUUCCAGGAACAACCUCCUCUGAGAUCAGGGUGGCCCUCAAUUCUCGGAAGCUUCAGCUCCCAUCCCCAACGGUGGCUGAUCCAGCAGUGGGUAUAGGCUGUGCUAAUGCCAGCCUUACUCUGGGUAGCCACCUGCUCAACUCCCUCAGAGCCCAGCUAGGUCCCCAAGCACAGCAGUGAACACAGUUGGCCACUUCUUCAUACUCAGCGGUUUGCCUGUGCUGAUGUUCCCUUGGGUGCGGUGCAGCACGGCGGCUUCCUCAGCCCACCCAUCUCUCCCCCGCGUCUGGAAGGGAGUAGAGGUUCAGAGAGGAAGUCUUGGGGCUGGAGUGAGCGGGUAGAGGUGGGGUGGGGGUAAAAUGCGUGCACUUGACCAAGGAGGCUUAGAGAUGGUAAGAGAACUAACUGCCUGAGGCCGUGGUGAGUGGCAGCUACUGUCAUUGUCCUGGCCACGGCUUGUGUUUCCUGGGUAAUCGCUGAGUGCCAGGCGCUGAGCUUGACUCUUCCCCCCACCCCACCUCUACCCGCUCUGAACCUCAAACGUUUGGCUCAGGCUCCUACCUCAGGACCUUUGCACAUGCCGUUAAACUCUUUCUGGCAUGCUCCUUGUCCAGACAUUUGCUUGGGUGACUCACCAUCUCCUACAAAUCUCAUCUUGCCCGUGAAGACCACUCUGACCGUCCGUCCAUCAGUGUGUGUGGACCAACAAGUACUAUUGAGAAGGAAGAAGGGACAGAGGAGAGAAGCUGGGGGAGGGGAAAAGGAAUGGCGCAUGGCCAUCUUUAUUCCGGUGAAAUCAGGUGACGAUGAGCAUCCCAGAGGGAUCCCGAUGGCACAGAAAGAUCAGAAAAGUCCCCAGAGGGAGGCAGGGCAGCAGCUCUGCUCAUUUGCCCCGAUGCAGAUUUUGAGGCUCCAGAUGUGAGCCAGUCUCACAGUCUGGGCAGCCCCCCUCCCGGUCCCUCCUUCCACCCGCCAACCACCCUGGGGGCUCUGACGACACGAGGAGUCCCCCCAUCCCCCAGCCACGGCCCCAGGAACGGUCAGGGUGAGGAAAGAUGCUCAGAGACCCUCAAAAAUGACUCAUGUCACUCCUGCUCCAAACGGGGGACCCUGACACCCUGACCUCCUUGAGUGUUUCGUCCCACUGGAUGGCCACCACACCUGGGCAGAUGGUGCCCCAGACCCAGGACGGUGUCACCUGCUGCAGCCCCCCCCCCCAUCACCACUUCCACCACUCUUUCCUCCCGGGAGGGACCGGGGUUUCACACAGCAGCAGCCGAGGCCCAUAAAUAGCAGCUGGCCACUCGCAGGCCGACCCUCCCAGGCCCCAAAAAGGAAGUGAGAGAAAGGCGGGCACUUCUGUCCUUCCUGCAGAAAGUACUGCUUCUGCAAGUGACCCCCCCGCAGGCCCUCCCCAGGGCUCCCCAUCCUCCGUGCGGACCCAAACCAGCUCAGGGCCUCUGUGGGGCAGGGUUAGCCUCAGGUGGGGCUCAGCUGCUGUAACAGGUAGGACCCAGAGACACGGCCGACCAGGGGGGGAGCGGAGGCCUCACCAGGAAUCUGUGCCCCGUUUUGUUUUGUGAAUGGCACUUUGUUCCAUAAUGAGGCCCUGCUGACCCAUGUAGGGGCCAUGCUGGGUUAAGAAAGCCCCACGGCUGGCUGGGCUCGGGGUGACCUCCCUUGGGAGGUACACUCAUCCACGUGAAGAUCAAUAGUCACACACACCCCCAGCUUUUUAGGCAAAACUAGAUUUGGAGUAGCAGUGUCUGGGGAUGUCCCCAGCUGCUGCCCCACGGGUGGUCACCAAAUGUGAGCGAAGACUUGAAUCUCAGGUGAGCAAAGCUGGGAAGACAUAGAAUGUCCGGUGGGUACCUUUCCAGAGGCCUUUCCCUCAGUCCUUCCCUGUUCAAAGUCUCCAUCUGUUCCUGCCCACACUCCUGGCCUGGCACAGCUGCGAGGAUAAACCGUGAUGCACCCUCAGGACAGGACACGGAAUGAGCCGGACCCACGGGCCUCUCACAAACAGGCUGGGGGAGAAGGAAGGCCGGGGACAAUGUGUGGCUCCAUGCAUGUCAACUAGAACUCAGACCCCAGACAGCCCCAGGACCACCGUCAGCCCCCAUGGAGGUAGGUGAAAUUAAAAAAAAAAAAAAUGAGCCGGAAUCAGAAACUCACCAAAUUCCAAUACUGGCGACUUCAGGGUGCCGGGGGGCAGGGGGUGGGGGUGAUGCAGCCGGUAAACUUGAACCGCAUCUGCAAUGCUUCAGGCUUUAAAAAGAAUAAACUCCACCAGCCUUUUAAAAAAAUAUUUAAUUUUUAGUUUUAGGUGGAUGCAAUAUCUUUAUUUUAUUUAUUUAUUUUUUAAGAGAGAGAGAGAGAGGGAAAGAGAGAGAAUUUUUUUAAUAUUUAUUUUUUAGUUUUUGGUGGACACAACAUCUUUGUUUGUUUGUGGUGCUGAGGAACGAACCCGGGCCGCACGCAUGCCAGGCGAGCGCGCUACGGCUUGAGCCACAUCCCCAGUCCUUUAUUUUAUUUUUAUGUGGUGCUGAGGAUCGAACCCAGGGCCUCAUGCAUGCCAGGCAAGCGCUCUACCUCUGAGCCACAACCUCAGCCCUGGAACUCUAUCAGUUUUAAACAAGGCCCUUUGUUAAAUUAUUAUUAUUAUUAUUAUUAUUAUUAUUAGUGCUGGGGAUCGAACCCAGGGCCUUGUGCAUGCAAGGCAAGCACUCUACCCACUGAGCUACAUCCCCAGCCCUAAGUCAUUUCUUGCACCAUUCCAAGUGUGAUUUUCUGCAUUCAAAUAUUCGAUUUCAACACAUGGGUUUUCCCAGCUUCGUUAUCUUUACCAGAAGGUGGGCACUCUGCAGCACAGGAGAAAACAGACCAAAUAUCCCUGCCCAUGAAGGCUAUGCAGAGACAGAUCAUAAACACGUAAAUAAGGGUCCAUGUGUCUGGGGUUGACCAGGUCAGCGUGGGAGGAAAAGGCAGGAAGGUGAGCUGGUGUGACAAAUGCUUUGUUUAUUUAUCAAUUUUUUUUAAAAAAAAAUUGUUCUUUUUAGGUCAACGUGACAGUAGAGGGUAUUUUGACAUAUUCUGCAUACAUGGAGAAUAACAUCCUAAUCAGGAUCCCAUUCUCGUGGGUUGUAUGACAUGGAGUUCCACUGGCCGCAUGUUCAUACAUGAGCACAGGAGAGCUCUGUCUGAAGCAUCCUCCUGUCUUUCCUAGUCCCCUGCCCCUCCCUUCCCUGGGGAUGCUAUCGUAGGUAAGGGAGCACGUGAGGUUAUCUAGGAUGCCCUGUAUUGCUAAUAUUUUUGCAGUACAGGGGUGAAACCCAGGCCUUGUGCAGUCGAGGCAGGUGCUCUACCACUAGCUACACCCCCAGCCCUAUCCCUUUAUUUGAGCCAGAAUUUCUCUAGGUUGCCCAGGCUGGCCUCAAACUCCCAGGUGGAAGCAAUACUCCUGCCUCAGGUGGCUGAGACUACAGGUGCAUGCCUCCCUAGCGUCUUGUUCCUUUUUAUGGCUGAGUAAUACCCCAUUUGGGUGGAGGUAUGGCAGUUGCUUGUUGAUUGACAUCUCAGCUGUUUCCAGUUUCUGAUGAUCACGAGUCAAGCUCUCAUAAACAUUGAUGCACGUGCUGGUGUGAACAUGUCCCUUCAUUCUUUCCUAACGGUGGAAUCGCUAUCUCACCUUGGAGGGAUGUUUAAAAUUUAAGAACCUGCCAAAUUAUUUUCAAAAGGGAUUUACUGUCUACAUUCUGACCGGCCAAGAAUGAGAGUCCAGUCGUUCCACCUUCUCGUCAACCCUGGGUACCGUCGGUCUUUUUCAUUGUAGCCCAGGUGUGCAGUGGUACCUCGUUAAGGUUUUUAUAUUUCUCCCUGUCGACACUGAGCCUCUUUCUUGGGCUCAUUUGCCAUCCACAUUAGGGUAUUUGAUGAAGAACCUGUUCAAAUCUUUUGUCCGUUUUUGAAAAAGUGGAUUGUUUAUAUUCUUCUUAUUGGAUUUUGAGAGCUCUUUAUAUAUUCUGGAUGAAAUCUAUUUCAAACAAUUAGAGCUUUAAUAGGUAUACAUGCAAAGGGGUAUAUUUUGACAUACAUGCAUGGAAUUUGAUUUCAAUCCCCAUCCCCCUCCGACUUCCCUCCCCCUCCCUCCUCUCCUUCCUCUACUGAUUAUAAAUGAUUUGCAAAUAUUUCCUUCUGUUCUGAGGCUUAUCUCUUCACACUCUUAACAGCAUCUACUGAAAAGCAAAAAUUUUUAAUUUGGACGAAAUUAAUUUAUCUUUUUAAAAAUUUUCUGGUUUAUGCUUUCAGUGUUGUAUCUAAGAAGUCUUUGCCUAACCAAAAAAAAUUUUUUUUUUCAAAUGUUUUCUUCUUAGAAAUUUUGGCUUUAGGUUUUACAUUUAGGUCUAUGAUCCUUUUGGGGGGUAUAUGGUAUAGGAUAUGGACCCAAAUUAUCAUUACUAUUUUUUUUUUUUUGCAUACGGAUUUCAAAUUGCUCCAGAACCAUUAAAUAAUCCUUAGCUGGGCAUGGUGGCACAUGCCUUGUAAUUCUAGCUACUCAGAAGGCUGAGAAGGAGGAUCACAAGUUCAAGGCCAGCCUCAGCAACUUAUCGAGACUUUGUCUCAAAGUAAAAAACAAUAGUGCUGAGGAUGUGGGUACCAAAAAAGGGAGGGAGGGAGGAAGGGAGGGAGGGAGGGAGGGAGGGGAAAUUGAAAAAAGAAAAGAAAAAAAUGAUUCCUUAUCAAUUGCCUUUGCACCUUGUUGAAAAUGACUUGUCCAGAUGUUGGGUUCCAUUUCUAGAGUCUUUAUUCUGCCCCAUACUAAAACCACACCCUUUUUUAUAUAAUUUUUUUUUUUAGUUUUAGACGGACACAAUACCUUUAUUUUACUUAUUUUUAUGAGGUGCUGAGGAUCGAACCCAGGGCCUCACACGUGCUAGGCAAGCGCUCUACCCCUGAGCCACAGCCCCAGCCCAAACACACCCUUUUUUCUAGUCUAGUUUUAAGGCUAGUUCUAAAGGAGGCAAUUCGAGCCUCCAACAGCUCUUUGACAACUUGAUAUUGAGGUUUCUGAUCUAUAAGCAUAGUCUAUCUCUCCUUUUACUUAAGAUUUUUAUUUAUUUUUAUCUAUUUUUUUAGGUGUAGAUGUGGGACACAACACAAUGCCUUUAUUUUUAUGUGGUGCUGAGGAUCGAACCCGGGUCCCACCCGCGCUAGGCGAGUGCUCUACCGCUGAGCCACAACCCCAGCCCAACUUAAGAUUUCUUUAACUUAUCUUAGCAAUGUUUUUUGUUGUUGUUGUUUUCAUUAUAUAAGUCUUUCACACCUUUUGUCAGAUUUAUUCCCUUUUCAUAUUUUUGAGAGCCCUGCAAAUUAUGAGAAUUUCAAUUUGUUGUUUGUUAUUAAUAUUUAGAAAAAUGCAAUCAAUAUAUGAUAUACAAAAUCCACCCAUGGUGUAUAUUGAUCCCGUGUCCUGGGAUCUUAUUAAAGUCCUAUUAGUUCUAAUAGCUUUUAUGUAAAUUCCAUGGAAUUUUCUAUAUAUAGGAUUUUCCAUAUAGCAAUUAUGUUUGUCUAAGAAUAAAGACAUAUUUUUUUUCUUUCAAACCUGAAUGAUUUCUAUAUCUCCUUCACUCCUUAUAAAAGGCUCAGGGGUCACUCCAGAUAAACUGGGCUAACUGGGCUGUACGAAAUAACCAAAAAGAGACACAAAUACCUUUUAUUUUGGGCUCCCUGUGACGGCUCCUCUGACCUUAAGGGUCCGCAGGAAGAGAGAGAGCGAGAGAGCACGCACUGACCCCUUUUAUUGAGGAGAAGCUACCUCAAAGUAAUAAAAGCCAUAUAUAUAUAUAUAUAUAAAAACCCUACAACACAAUGCAUGGUGAAAGCCCUUCUUUAAGAUCAGAAAUAAAGUUAGUAUGUCCAUUUUCACCACUUCCUAUUGAACAUAAUAUUGGAAGUUCUAGCCAGAGCAAUUAGACAAGAAAAAGAAAUAAAAAGAAUCCAAAUUGGAAAAGAAGUAAAAUUAUCUCUGUUUGCUGAUGAUGAUCUUAUAUGUAAAGAUCUUGAUUCCAUAAGAUAAACUGUUAGAACUAAUAAAUGAAUUCCUCAAGGUAGCAGGAUACAAAAGUCAACAUGCGAAAAUCAGUUACAUGUUCACACACCAACAAUAAACCAUUUGAAAAGAAAAUUACAAACGGCAUCAAACAGAAUAAAAUACUCAAUUAACCAAGGAGAUGAAAUGAAAGAUUUGUACAAUAAAACUAUAAAAUAAUGCAGAAAGAAAUUAAAUGAAUGAUGUUAAGGAAAACACUUCUCAUAUUCAUGGAUUGGAAGAGUUGACAUCCAUAUGGAAUUGUGGAUUACCAAAAACCCUCUUAAGAUUCCUGUUUAGACUAAUAUUCUGUUCAUGAUGAUACACGUCUAUUUCUAAGAUGAUUGCUAUCAUCUAAAUAUUUCUAUCCACCCAAAAAAUACAUGUUGAAACCUAAUCCCUGGUAUGAUAGUGUUAAGAUGUGAGACUUUGGGGAUAAUUAGGUCACGAAGGCAUGCCCUCUCAUGAAUAAGAUUAGAAGUGGCCUUAGGGAGCAUGUUCUUUCUCUCUGCAAUGUGAAAUCUAAGCAAGAAGGUACCAUUUAGAAAACAUAAAGUGAGACCUGACCAGACAAAAUACUGCAGAGAGAAAUUAAAUGAAAGAUGUUAAGGAAAACACAUCUCAUAUUCAUGGAUUGGAAGAGUUGAUAUCCACAUGGAAUUGUGGAUAUCAAUGACACCUUGAUCACUUCUUGAUAAAUUCAUUCCUUCAUUAAUAACCUAGGUCUUUUCUAACGUGCAACUCAAAACUUUUCCAGCCUCUACCUAUUACACGUUUCCAAAGCCACUGCCACGUUUUGGGGGGUAUUUGUUAUAACAGCAUCCCACUUUGCAGUGCCCAAAUCUGAGUCGGUUUGCUCCGGUGGUGUCUCAUUCUAUUUUGUGCUACCAUAACAGAAUACUGCAGACCCAGCAAUUGAUAAUGGACAGACAUUUAUUGGCUCAUAGCUCUAGAGCCCAGAAUUCUAAAAUAGGAGGGUUGUAUCUGAUGAGAUGAGAGAGAGAGAGAGAGAAUUUUUUAAUAUUUAUUUUUUAGUUUUCGGUGGACACAACAUCUUUAUUCUAUUUGUAUGCGGUGCUGAGGAUCAAACCCAGCACCCAGUGCAUGCCAGGCGAGCACUCUACCGCUUGAGCCACAUCCCCAGCUCCUCAUCUUUUUAUAAGGCACAUACUCUUGGGAUAAGGAACCUACUCCCAUGAUAACGCCAUUAAUCCAGGCGUGAGGACAGAACCCUGGUGACCUAGUCACGUCUUAAAGUUCCCACCUCUUAACCCAGUUAAAAAUGACAACUAAUUUUGAUGUAAAUUUGGGAGGGGGUGCAGAUGUUCAAACGAUGAUAUCAGGCUGCCAUAACAAAAAGAUUGGAUGGCUGAAACAAGAGAAAUUUAUUUUCUCACAGUCCUGGAACUUAGAAGUUGAGGAUAAAGGUGUUCGUAGAGUUGAUCUCUUCCAAGGCCUUGUUCUUUGGCCUUGUGAGUGGCUACAAGGCCAAGUGGCUGUCCCUCGGUGCGCAUCUGUGCCCUAAUUCCCUCUUCUUAAAAGGACACAAGCCAGACAAGAUUAGGGCCCACCUCCAACCACCUGAUUGAACUCUAAUUACCUCCUUAAAGACCUUAUCUCCAAAUAUAACUACAUACUGACGUCCUGGAGGUUAGAACUCCAACGUAUGGAUUCGGUAGGGCUAUGGCUCAGCUCCUGACACCCCAUUCCUAAGCUCCGGAUGGCUGAGGCUGGAGAACUGAGGCUGGUAGCUCACUACUGGCCCUGAAAAUCUUCUGCUCCAAAAUAAUAUGCUUGAUUUCUGCUCUACUUCACCGGCCAAAGCCAGUCCCAUGGCCAUGCCUUCUCUUCAGAGGGAUGGGGAAAUGCUAUUCUCAUAUGAUCCUUCAAGGAAGACAACUAGGACUUCAUAUAAAGCCCCUAAUGAUUACCAGUGUCUAGCAUGGAGCCCCAGUAACUCCCUUUGUAGGUGGUCUGCCAAGAUGGCCACCGGUCAUUCUCGUCCUCUCUGGCCCUCUCCCCAUCAAGAAAUAGAGUCUAGGGCUGGGGAUGUGGCUCAAGCGGUAGCGCGCUCGCCUGGCAUGCGUAUGGCCCGGGUUCGAUUCUCAGCACCACAUACAAACAAAGAUGUUGUGUCCACUGAGAACUAAAAAAAAAUAAAUAUUAAAAUUCUCUCUCUCUCUCUCUCUCUCACUCUCUCUUAAAAAAAAAGAAAUAGAGUCUAUUCUCUUCCCUUGGAAUUUGGAUUGUCUUAUAGUUUGCUUUAUUCAACAGACUCUACAGGAGUUAAUGUUCUAGAUCUUUCCACCCUCAGACUCCAGAGGUCUGAUAACUUCUGCUUUUGCAGAAGGAAACCCAUGUAUGAUGAAGACAUUCUAGACACAUGAGGCAGCUCUCCGACAUCAUGAAAAGACUGAACCCCAGCCAGCCCUGACGGCUCUUUGAGCCACCCAACGGAGGCACCCGACAUGUGACCGAGGCCACCUUUAUUCUUCCAGCCCUACAGAGUCAACCUCGCUCACACCAGGCAGAGCAGAGACUCAUGUUGAAAUUUACCUCACCCCCACGGUGAGGGAUCAAGAGGUGAGACCCGGUGGACGCAUGAAGAGGAAAUCAGGUCAUUUAAUGGAUUAAAUGCAUUCAUGGAUUAAUGGAUUAUUGCAGAUGCAUAAAACCUAAUCCCAAACUGGCUUGAACCCAUUUUUGUGUGGGGGGGGUGCACCAUUGGACAGGGACGACGUCAGGCAUGGCUGGAUCCCGAUCCACCUCUUAGGUUUGCUUCCCCCGGAGAUUUCAAGCUGCAUGUUUGUGACUGGCCCAGUUUGGGUCCUGUGUGCAUUCCCGGGCCCACGGAUGUUGUCAGAAUAGAGAGCAGUUUGAUUAGCCAACCUGGGGUGGUGAUUCCCUCCAGACCCAGGGGUGGACCCAACAUACUGCAGGGACUGAAAACACGGGCGUGUGUUCUCAGAUGGCAAUCAAGAGCUCUUUCAGAAAAGGUGUGUGAGAUUAGCACCCUUCCUGACCCCAACCCUCCCUUCCCAUUUGGCCUGCCUCUGCUCUCUCCCAAAUACCUCAUUGCCUCCCCACCCUCAGCUUGAGCAGGUCCCUCCUCCACUUGGAAUGUCUUCCAUACCAGUGGAAGACAGCUGGGUUGCCGCCGAGGCUGGCCUCAAGCUUCUGUGAUCCUCCUGCCUCAGCCUCCUCAGCAGCUAGGAUUACAGGCAUGCACCACAGCACUCAGCUACAUUAAGCAUCUUGAGAUGACGAUCUUGCAUUGUCCCCGGGAGCCCUAAGUGCAGUCACAUGCAUACUUACAAGGGGGAGGUAGAGAGAGAGUCCUUGACACAGACAGAAGAAUCAGAGACAACAUGACCGUGGGGACAAAGUCUGCAGCCACCAAACAGGCUCCCCUUGAGCCUCAGCAGGAGCAUGGCCCUGAGGAUGCCUUGAUUUUGACCAUGGGAUACUGAUUUAAGUCUUUUGACCUCCAGAACUGCAAGAGAAUAAAUGCUUGUUGUUUUAAGCCCCUGGAUUAGAGAAAUUUGUCAUGGCAAUCCUAGGACACGAAUAUGGCUUUCCACGUUAUGAAGAAUGCGAUGUUAACGCCUGUAGGACCUGUGGUCUGACUCCUGCUCCUGCUCGCGCUCACAGAGGACAUCCGACUGCAGCUUGAACACUGCUGCCCCAGGGCCUUUGCACUUAUUCCCUCAGUCUGGCAUGCUCUAUCUUUGGGUUAUUCCAUUAUCUCCUUAGGGGAGAUCUUCCCUGACUAAAACAGCACUGCCCCACCCCCAGUCCCUUGUCAUUUUUUUUUUUUAAGUUCCCUUGAUUUUCUUUCUUUUUUUUUUAAAGAGAGAGAGAGAGACCAC